UCGCGCCGGAAGUGGCCGGUCAGCGUCGCUGCCAGUCUACGGCGGAGACAGGCGCUCUGGAGUUUGAGCGGCAGGGGCGGCCACGAGGUAUUCUGAUCUUCCGUCCUAAACGCAUCUGCAAGUCGAGAUGUCGCACCCGUCCCCCCAAGCCAAGCCCUCCAACCCCAGUAACCCUCGAGUCUUCUUUGACGUGGACAUCGGAGGGGAGCGAGUUGGUCGAAUUGUCUUAGAAUUGUUUGCAGAUAUCGUACCCAAAACUGCGGAAAAUUUUCGUGCACUGUGUACAGGAGAAAAAGGCAUUGGACACACGACUGGGAAACCUCUCCAUUUCAGAGGAUGCCCUUUUCAUCGAAUUAUUAAGAAAUUUAUGAUUCAGGGUGGAGACUUCUCAAAUCAGAAUGGGACAGGUGGAGAAAGUAUUUAUGGUGAAAAAUUUGAAGAUGAAAAUUUCCAUUACAAGCAUGAUCGGGAGGGUUUACUGAGCAUGGCAAAUGCAGGCCGCAACACAAAUGGUUCUCAGUUUUUUAUCACAACAGUUCCAACUCCUCAUUUGGAUGGGAAACAUGUGGUGUUUGGCCAAGUAAUUAAAGGAAUAGGAGUGGCAAGGAUAUUGGAAAAUGUGGAAGUGAAAGGUGAAAAACCUGCUAAAUUGUGCGUUAUUGCAGAAUGUGGAGAAUUGAAGGAAGGAGAUGAUUGGGGAAUAUUCCCAAAAGAUGGCUCUGGCGACAAUCAUCCAGAUUUCCCUGAGGAUGCGGAUAUAGAUUUAAAAGACGUAGAUAAAAUUUUAUUAAUAACAGAAGACUUAAAAAACAUUGGAAAUACUUUUUUCAAAUCCCAGAACUGGGAGAUGGCCAUUAAAAAAUAUGCAAAAGUUUUAAGAUACGUGGACAGUUCAAAGGCUGUUAUUGAGACAGCAGAUAGAGCCAAGCUGCAACCUAUAGCUUUAAGCUGUGUACUGAAUAUUGGUGCUUGUAAACUGAAGAUGUCAAAUUGGCAGGGAGCAGUUGACAGUUGUUUAGAGGCUCUUGAAAUAGACCCAUCAAAUACCAAAGCAUUGUACCGCAGAGCUCAAGGAUGGCAAGGAUUAAAAGAAUAUGAUCAAGCAUUGGCUGAUCUUAAGAAAGCUCAGGAGAUAGCACCAGAAGAUAAAGAGAUGGGGUUUCGCCAUGUUGCCCAGGCAGACUGCCCAACUCGGCCUUCCAAAGUGCUGGGAUUACAGAAACAAGGAAAAUAAAAGUUGGAAGAGUUACCUGAAAGCCACCUUCAUUGAGAGCUCUGGCUCCGUAUGCAAUCCUUUUUCCACCUUCCAAGGUUGGCCGAAUGCUAGGAUGGUGUUUCCACCUCUGGAACUCUCUAAAUGGACUCAGGGCUUUGGAGCCAUCGCUUUGAAAUGGAACACCAAGAAGGAUGCCUCUUGUCUUCCUGUGUCUGUGGGAAUUUGGGUAGGUGUUUGGCUCUAAGUUGUAACUUCCUGCUUGUCAAAAAACAAAACAAACAAACAAAAACCCAACAACAAAAAAACAUUUAAUUUUUCCUUAGAGUAAAAACAGUUAACAUUUAUGUAAUGGAUAGAUUGUAUCUGUAAAAACAGUUAACAUGUAUGUAAUGAAUGGAUUGUAUCUGCCUGGCUAUUUAAAAGGGUGAGAUUUCUGUCUUGGCCUGUGAUAUGCAUCAUAGUCUUGGUUUAAGGCUAAUUCAAGAAUAAAACUGUUUCGUUCUUUUUUUUUUUUUUUUUUUGAGACGGAGUCUUGCUCUGUCACCCAGGCUGGAGUGCAGUGGCGCGAUCUCGGCUUACUACAAGCUCCACCUCCCGGGUUCACGACAUUAUUCUGCCUCAGCCUCCCAAGUAGCUGGGACUACAGGCGCCCACUACUGCGCCCAGCUAAUCUUUUUUUAGUAGAGACGGGGUUUCCCCGUGGUCUUGAUCUUCUGACCUCGUGAUCCGCCUGCCUCAGCCUUCCAAAGUGCUGGGAUUACAGGCGUGAGCCACUGUGCCCAGUCUUUUUUUUUUUUUUUUUUUGAGACAGAGUCUCUGUUGCCAGGCUGGAGUGCAGUUGCACCAUCUCGGCUCACUGCAACCUCUGCCUCCCGGGUUCAAGUGAUUCUCCUGCCUCAGUCUCCUGAGUAGAUGGGACUACAGGCACCUGCCACCACGCCCAGCUGAUUUUUGUAUUUUUAGUAGAGACGGUGUUUCACCAUGUUGGCCAGGAGGGUCUCGAUUUCUUGACCUCGUGAUCUGCCCACCUCAGCCUCCCAAAGUGCUGGGAUAACAGGCAUGAGCCACUGCGCCUGGCCUGUUUCAUUCUUUUUUAUAAUUUAUGAGGAGAAUUUUUCUGGGUCCUCAGGCGAUUUUAUUUUUUAUUUUUUGAGAUGGAAUCUCGCUCUGUCGCCCACGCUGGAGUGCAGUCGCAUGAUCUCGGCCCACUGCAACCUCUGCCUUCUGGGUUCAAGCGACUCUCCUGCCUCAGCCUCCCAAGUAGCUAUGAUUACAGGCAUGUGCCGCCAUGCCUGGCUAAUUUUUUGUAUGUUUAGUAGAGACGGGGUUUCACCAUGUUAGCCAGGAUGGUCUUGAUCUCCUGACCUCGUGACCUGCCCGCCUUGGCCUCCCAAAGUGCUGGGAUUACAGGUGUGAGCCACCGUACCUGGCCAAGAUUUUAUUUUUAAUAAUUUCCCCAGUAAUGCAAAAUAAGAAUCAAUAGUGUGAUGUGGUUGCCAAAAAAGUAAUUACUUUGAGGGAAUUAAUGGAAGACCAGUUUCUAGAAUGGGGAAGAUAACAGUUCUACACUAGACAUGAAGUGGUUUAUUCAUUCUGGGUGCCGCUUUGUAAAGGGGAUAAAAAGAGGAUCCAUUCAGAAGUUGGCAGCAAGAAUACUGAAAGAACUCAAAACUCAAAUUAUGUACCAUCAUGGCUGAAAGAACUGAGAAUAUUUAAGCUAGUGCUGGGGCUCAGAAGAUAAUACUCUAAAAAGUAUGUUCCUGGCAUGCUGAUGUUGAGGCUCAGAAACCGAUAUCCCAAAAUAUGGUGCUUUGACAUGCUGAACUGAAGAAGCUUCAAUGUCUCUCUGACCUUCCCAGGCCAACUGUCCCUGUCUCUUAAUCGUCUGUCUCUCCCAAAGCACAGGAUGAAGUUGUUCUCUGAAGUUCCCUUAUCUUCCUAAAAUAUGGGCCUACCAAAGAAGCAAACAAUUACUUCUGGUCCCUUUCCUGAGUUUUCAUGAACGGAACUCAUAUUGCAGGAAGAAUGACUGAAGUCUGUCUAUAAACUUGGACAGCCUUCUGUCAGAAACCACUGUCUUCUCUGCAGGCUCAAGAGACUUUGUCCCAGGUCACUGUAUGUUCUUCAAGCCCAUUGAAUUCCCCUAAAAAUCACUUACUAUCCCCCUAAAGUCAUCCAUACUUCCCCAUCUCCAUUUUCCCUACCAAGAAAGGCAUAUAACUGUACCCCAUUGUGUGGUAGGGUAAUCACUCUGUAAUAUUCCCUUCAUGCACGCUGAUAAACCUGUAUGCCUUUCCUCCUACUAACCUGCCUCUUGUGAGUUUUCUAUGAACCUUCAGAGGGUGAGGGGAAGUCUUCCCUUGGCACUCAGCCCCUAUGCUGAGUACCUAGAACCGAAGAAAGACUGGAAGGCCUCAGAAACAAGGUCUUUCUAACCUUCUCCCAUCCCUCUUUCUCUCCUAAAGCAAGUCACAGAAACCAGGAUUCCUCUUCCUCAAGAGGAGUUCUGCUCCAGCCAUACCUCAGAGGAAGAAAUGCUACACAAAAAGGCCAAAGAGAAUGUGAACAGACAGGCCUUGCUUGGCUUCCUCUCUCAGUCUACUACCAUUAGAUCAUACCCUUCUGUCUAAUCACAUUUCAACAUGGCUGUCCAUUCUUAUUGUACCUAAGCAUAAAAAUGGUUUCCCCUGGGUCUUUGGGGCCUUUAUUUCUGAAGGAUUUCAUAUCAUGUAAAACUUUGUUAAAUAAAUGUGUUAUGUUAUUCUUGUUA